UUAGUCGUAUACAGAAAAUGCUCCUCACUUUGAAGAUCUUGUUUGAAGGGCCAAUGGAGAGAUGCCCUGAAAUUAAAGAUAUUUCAGGUUCAGAGAACAAAGGGCAGAAGCACACAGAUCCAAGAAAGAAAGAACAUCCUGUGGUUGGAAAAUCACAAGCGUGCCUGCAGCCCUCCAGAGGAAACAGAGUGAUUCAAAGGCCCUUCUUAGGCUGUGAUGGGAAACAGAGAACCAGACUUCAGGUGUAAACUGGAGAGAACUUCGCUGCCAGCAAGAUGCCUUUUGAGGUAGCUGCAGCUCAAAAGAUUGUUGAAAUGAGCAGAACCAGAGUUUGACUAGAAGCCAAGAAAAAGAGUAGCUCAGAGCUCUUACUUUGGUGCUGGCAGCCUGGGAGAAGGGGAAAUUAUGAAGAAGUCAUGAGUCCUGAGUCUUGGGCUGGAGGAGCAAAAAGGAGAGAAGCUUUACCAGGCUGCUGCUUUUCCGGGGUUGGCAAUUUCCUCCACAACCUUUCUGUCUACAGGUCUCUGAAACUGAUGUGAAUUUGUCUCUCACAACUUUUGACUUAAUAUUGAUGCUGUGACUUGGAACAAGAGCUCCAGGAGAGGGUAAGACGAGGUGUCCAGCAUUUAUUUGUUGUGCAGCCUUUUUUGGCCUGUGAGUCUCAGCUCUCAUAAACUAUGUGGGCUCUGGCUUGACCCUAGCUUGUUAGGAAAGCUGUAACCUUCCUGCACGUCCUCACCCCCUCAAAGAAUAUUUGGGAGGAGACAGAAGUAGGGAAAGAGGGUAAGGAACUUUUGAAGGGCACAAACAUGUGACCUAGUUUUCACUGCCUUUUGGUGAAGAGUGUUUGUCUGACUGCUAUUUCUAAGUUCAUAAUACUUUUUUCCAUAAAAUAAUGAUCCAAAUUGUGUUACAGAGAAUCUCUUUUCCUGAUGCCUCCUUGUCCAUCUACCUGGUGGAAAACUUUCUGUUGCAGUGUUCAGCAAAUUGAAAUGACAAAUUGAAAUGUUUAACAGAAAUCUAUAUGGGCUUUAUUGUAAUUUUCAUUUCAGAUACAUUAUAGUCCAUUCAUUUAUGUAAAAGUCAAAAAGAUAAUGAUUUUAUCCAAACAGUCCUUUC